AUACGGAGGGUGCAAGCGUUACUCGGAAUCACUGGGCGUAAAGCGCGCGCAGGCGGCUUGAUAAGUUGAAUGUGAAAGCCUACGGCUCAACCGUAGAACUGCAUCCAAAACUGUCAAGCUAGAGUCUGGGAGGGGAAGAUGGAAUUAGUUGUGUAGGGGUAAAAUCCGUAGAGAUAACUAGGAAUACCAAAAGCGAAGGCGAUCUUCUGGAACAGUACUGACGCUGAGGCGCGAAAGCGUGGGGAGCAAACAGGAUUAGAAACCCCAGUAGUCC
rnacentral:rRNA from 1 species